GACGGAGGAUGCAAGCGUUAUCCGGAAUGAUUGGGCGUAAAGCGUCCGCAGGUGGCAGUUCAAGUCUGCUGUCAAAGACCGGGGCUUAACUUCGGAAAGGCAGUGGAAACUGAACAGCUAGAGUAUGGUAGGGGCAGAGGGAAUUCCUGGUGUAGCGGUGAAAUGCGUAGAGAUCAGGAAGAACAUCGGUGGCGAAGGCGGUCUGCUGGGCCGUUGCUGACGCUGAGACGCGAAAGCGUGGGGAGCGAACAGG
rnacentral:rRNA from 1 species